rnacentral:rRNA from 1 species
UACGAAGGGGGCUAGCGUUGCUCGGAAUGACUGGGCGUAAAGCGCGCGUAGGCGGUUACUUAAGUCGGAUGUGAAAGCCCUCGGCUUAACUGAGGAAGUGCACCCGAAACUGAGUAGCUAGAGUACGAAAGAGGGUCGCGGAAUUCCCGGUGUAGAGGUGAAAUUCGUAGAUAUCGGGAGGAACACCGGUGGCGAAGGCGGCGACCUGGGUCGAGACUGACGCUGAGGCGCGAAAGCGUGGGGAGCAAACAGG